ACUCCUACGGGAGGCAGCAGUGAGGAAUAUUGGACAAUGGGCGAAAGCCUGAUCCAGCCAUGCCGCGUGCAGGAAGACUGCCCUAUGGGUUGUAAACUGCUUUUGUACGGGAAGAAACCCACCUACGUGUAGGUGGCUGACGGUACCGUAAGAAUAAGCAUCGGCUAACUCCGUGCCAGCAGCCGCGGUAAUACGGAGGAUGCAAGCGUUAUCCGGAAUCAUUGGGUUUAAAGGGUCCGUAGGUGGAUUGGUAAGUCAGAGGUGAAAGCCUGCAGCUCAACUGUAGAACUGCCUUUGAUACUGCUAGUCUUGAAUUAUUGUGAAGUGGUUAGAAUAUGUAGUGUAGCGGUGAAAUGCAUAGAUAUUACAUAGAAUACCAAUUGCGAAGGCAGAUCACUAACAAUAUAUUGACACUGAUGGACGAAAGCGUGGGGAGCGAACGGGAUUAGAUACCCUGGUAGGUCAGU
rnacentral:rRNA from 1 species